AAUGGCACAGCAUUAAGUUGGGGGAAGAGGUGAAGAAGAAUAGAGAAGUAGAUGCAGAAAGGGUUCAUAUCCAAUUUCAUUUUAAACGAAGAGGAAAGGGGGUACUCAGUCACUGAAAAGUGGGGAUCAUGAAAGUCAGUGGCUUCAUUUGAAGAUCAUAGGGAAUUCCCAACACCUUGGUCCGAGGAGAAACUCAAGAAACAGCUACUGUGGCAUCUUGAGAUCAGAUCCUCAUCCCCAUGACAGAGAUCUCAGAAUCCAGAAGGUAAGAAGCAGAACUGAGAUCCCAGUGCUGUGUAGGGGGCAUAGCACAUGCUAUAAGCCCAGGCCUCAGUUGGCCAAGAAAGGAGGAGUGUGUUUUCUGGUCCAGCCUGGCCUAUAUACUGAGCACAAGAAAAGCCAGGGUUAAAAGUUACUUGAAAUGGCCUCCAACAAAGAUAUCUGCCUGCCUCUGUCUCUUUAGUGCCAACAUGCCCAGCUUAAAAAAAAAA
rnacentral:lncRNA from 1 species